rnacentral:lncRNA from 1 species
ACCAGUGAUGGUGCAUUUGCUUAACACCAGCAUGAAAAUCAUCACAGAAAGUUAAUUAAGACUAAUGUUUGCCCCCUAAAAAUGCAAUCACUCCUUUCUUCUUACUGAUUUAGAAAACCAAAAGAUGAAGGGAAUGAAGAACUAGCCUACAGCCAAUCCUGAGUAAAGCCUCAGCUACAAAACAUGCCGUGAAAAAUGAAUGUAGAGAGUUGGACAUCCUUCUGAAAAUCACCAGAUGACAUACAUUCCCUUGGAAAAGAGGAGGCCAAAGCAAGAUACCUGCAUUGAAGGGCUGCCGAGGGUCCGAGUGAUGAGCAGAGCCGCGGAGGCUGGGGGCUGGAGGAAGCAGGUGAGGAGCAUCAUCCCUUCGCAUCACUCCCGCAGCCCUGCCAGGUGCAGCCCGGCCGGGCAGUG